GGUACCCUUGAAAUCACCUCCUAGAUUUCUUCGGAAGGGCUUCGUGAGAAGCUCGUGCACGGUAAUACACUGAUAUUACCAAGAGUGCGGGUAUCGCCUGUGGUUUUCCACAGGUUCUCCAUAAGGAG
rfam:Cucumber mosaic virus strain LS 3a protein and coat protein genes, complete cds.